rnacentral:lncRNA from 1 species
UUCAGGCAUGCUCCGUGUACCAACAUGGGAUCACGAAUCACAUCGCCUCAGGCCAAGAAAGCCAUUUUAUAGCGAAAGAGCCUUAGGAUCUGCUGGAUUAGAGCCUGUUUCCCAGGUAGGAACGCUUCCACGAGGGCACUCCUGCUGGUUGCAGGAAGGAUACCUCUGCUGAGCCUGAAUCUGCAAAGACCACCAGGUUACUCUCAGCUCCUCAUACUGGUGGACCAGCAGGCCACAAAGGAGGGGAUACUUGAUCCUGAUAAACGGUUAUGCUUGUUUGCUGAUGGAAAUGAUCCAGAAGAGAAGGACAAGUUGACGAUUGAGAGGGUUAAUGUCAGGUAAGAAACUUGAGUGGACAUUGAGGAAAGAGCGAGGUUCAGUGGACUGGAGGUUUGUGGUGGUUUCAUGACACGUGGACUGGAGAUUUGCAGUGGUUUUAUGACACAUGGACUGGAGGUUUGUGGUGGUUUCAUGACACAUGGACUGCAGAUUUGCAGUGGUUUUAUGACACAGCUCCUAAGUUCUUUGACACUCUUCCCAUGGAGGGGUAGGGUCUGUGACCCCCCUCUUGAAGCUGGGUAGGCUUGCAACUGCUUUGGCCAAUAGUCACAGCAGCAGUGAUGCUGUAGGACUUACAAGGUUAGACCAGAAAAGGGCAUGCCCUCCAAGGAUCCUUACUCUGAUGGGAACCAGCCAUCAUGUAGAAACUC